CACGUAGGGGCCAAGCGUUGUCCGGAUUUAUUGGGCGUAAAGAGCUCGUAGGCGGUUCGACAAGUCGGGUGUGGAAAACUCCGGGCUCAACCCGGACGACGGCCACCCGAUACUGUCGUGACUGGAGUCCGGUAGGGGAGUGGGAAGUUCCUGGUGUAGCGGUGAAAUGCGCAGAUAUCAGGAGGAACACCGGUGGCGAAGGCGCCACUCUGGGCCGGUACUGACGCUGGAGGAGCGAAAGCGUGGGAGCGAACAGG
rnacentral:rRNA from 1 species